GACGAACGCUGGCGGCGUGCCUAAUACAUGCAAGUCGAGCGGACCAAAGGGAGCUUGCUCCUGGAGGUUAGCGGCGAACGGGUGAGUAACACGUGGGCAACCUGCCUGUAAGACUGGGAUAACAUCGAGAAAUCGGUGCUAAUACCGGAUAAUAAAAAGAACUGCAUGGUUCUUUUUUGAAAGAUGGUUUCGGCUAUCACUUACAGAUGGGCCCGCGGCGCAUUAGCUAGUUGGUGAGGUAACGGCUCACCAAGGCAACGAUGCGUAGCCGACCUGAGAGGGUGAUCGGCCACACUGGGACUGAGACACGGCCCAGACUCCUACGGGAGGCAGCAGUAGGGAAUCUUCCGCAAUGGACGAAAGUCUGACGGAGCAACGCCGCGUGAGUGAUGAAGGUUUUCGGAUCGUAAAACUCUAGUUGUUAGGGAAGAACGAAGUGACCGUUCGAAAGGGCGGCACCUUGACGGUACCUAACGAGAAAGCCACGGCUAACUACGUAGCCAGCAGCCGCGGUAAAG
rnacentral:rRNA from 1 species